UAGGGAAUAUUGGGCAAUGGGCGAAAGCCUGACCCAGCCAUGCCGCGUGCAGGAUGAAGGCCUUCUGGGUUGUAAACUGCUUUUAUCAGGGAAGAAAAAGCUCCUGCGGGAGCAACUGACGGUACCUGAGGAAUAAGCACCGGCUAACUCCGUGCCAGCAGCCGCGGUAAUACGGAGGGUGCAAGCGUUGUCCGGAUUUAUUGGGUUUAAAGGGUGCGUAGGCGGCCUUUUAAGUCAGUGGUGAAAGCCCAUAGCUCAACUAUGGAACUGCCAUUGAUACUGAAAGGCUUGAGUACAGACGAGGUUGGCGGAAUGGAUGGUGUAGCGGUGAAAUGCAUAGAUACCAUCCAGAACUCCGAUUGCGUAGGCAGCUAACUAGGCUGUAACUGACGCUGAGGCACGAAAGCGUGGGGAGCAAACAG
rnacentral:rRNA from 1 species